UUGUAUUGCUUGUGGGAGCGGUGGUUGGCCUGCACCGGUGGAGACGCCGUGCUGCGGUCUUCCCCGUUCCCUCUUCCAAAACCAAACACCUGUGAACCUUUGGGAAGGCGGCUGUAGCGGUCGCCUGCCCGUUUAAACACCAGUCAAAGUAUGUAACGAAAUAUCGAAACAAAAAA
rnacentral:misc_RNA from 1 species